UGAGUGUGUCCGUGUGCUUUUGUGUGCUGUGGGGGAAGUGUGAUGUAACUAUUUUCCAGUGUGUUUCCUGUUUCCCUGUUUACACUGUGUGUGGGCAUUACUGCACUGUGUGUUGCCAAGCAAGUGAGCCUUUGGGACUGAAGAGCAGACAUUUUUCAGCUUACUGCGCCAUCUACUAAGAGAUGUCUGUGCAAUCGUUAUCGCUCAGCAGCCCUCUUCAUAAAUACCAGAAGUGAUUCGUGAGACCACAGAAAAUGAAUGAUAUUUGGCAACUUCAAGCAACUACGGCCGAAAUAACUGCUGGCGGUGCGAAGUGGUUGGGAUAUGAGAUAAACUUCAAAGCGACUGAAGCAUCUACCCGUGAGAGUGAACAACACUGUUGAUUGGCAUUAAAGAACGUCUCGACUGUGGUGGGAAUGGAGCUGUGAAAGAGAUGGAAAUUUAGCCAGCACCUCUCAACCUACACAGUAGCUGCAUCAGAUACGCCUAAAAGAGUGCACGGCCAUCUGCAGUCUGUUACAAAGAUACUCAAAGCGAUUAACAGCUUCCCCUUACAUCGCCACUCCUCUUCUCAAGGCUCUCAGUCCUCAGGCUAUUCUGGUGAGGCCCUGGUGCAGCUGCAGUUAUCAGUACAGCCCCCUCAUCAGUGGCUGAAUUCUCCCUUAGCAUUCAAGUCAAAGUUCUGAUGGUGAAAUCAACCGAAAUAUAACAUGGCUCGAAAAGAUAACGAAGGUGCGGCAAGAAAACUAAAGAAAACAAGUGGGAAGGCGUUAAAGGGGCAAUGGAUGAGAACCGCAAUGUCCAACAUGUAGACUCUGACGUGGAUACGCCGAUGAAUCUAGAGGCAGAUAGAUGCGGACUGCACAAAAUAAGAUGAAAACAAAAGCAUAUGAAUGGCUGACAUGUUGGACCAAGCACAGGCAGAAUCUUUCAGUAAUUUGGUUGAAUCAAAAACACAUCAACAUAUCAAAAGGCCUUUGAUGAAGCCCCGCAGCUGUGGCCUCUUCAAUGCAGAUUAAUUCUGGUCAUCGUUUAAUUAAAUCUGGUAGUGCAGUAACAGCUGCUAAAACACCUUCAUGUGUCUGGACCUGUUGGAUUCAAAUAAUUAUCAAUAUGCACAUAACCCCCCCUUCAUUACGGAUCACUGUAGACCUGCGGCUAACUGUCAGAUGGAUCACUGUGCUUCAGGGAAAUUAUAAUGUUUAGCCUGGGUGGCAUCAUGACUUUUAACGGCUGAAAAUACACAUCAGCAAGCAGAAUCUGAGGCCGUGUCAGUCUCUUUUGGUUUUCAGAGCCGUGAUAGAAAUUUUACAUGUAAUAGAUGUGAACCUUAUUAAUGCUGGCACUGAAUUCUGGCUUGAUGUAAAAAACAUGGAAGGUGAAGGAAGGGGACCGAGGGCAAUGGGAACUCUCAGAAGCUUGGACAGGCUCAGGUGGACAAAUAUAGAAACAUCCACUUAUUUCAAUAUUUAGAAAACUGCAAGAGGUGGUUUGUGACUGCGACUGGGGGCAAUGAACUUGUGAUCUCACUGUCUUUAAAUGGGGACCAGCCCUGCAAGCAUUCUCAAUCAUUUGCUAUCUUCUAAGCAGCUUUGAGUGCUAAACAGCAAUAAGAGUCAGUCUGUUUCCAAAUGAAUGGGGCAGUUACAUCCAAUCUGUUUGUGACAGUACAGUGAUUACUGAAACAGCUAAAAUUAGCAAAACUUCCAGAAGAAAGAUAAUUUAACAUUUUUGCUUUUAAAAUACUUUGACAGUCUACUUUUGUUAAUAUGAUUGUUGCCGCCUUUGACCAUCACAAAUUAGGUCCAGUUGGUGCUUUAUUGCAGGUUAUGCUCACACAUGUAUCAGAAAUGUUGAGGAAACACAUGUGCUUUUUUAUUACUGCCAUGGAAUAUUGAAUACAUUAAAUUACAUAUAACGUCAUUUUGAAAUUCGAGUUUCAAAGUCAAUAUUAACAAUUUGGCAUUUUGAUUAUUUAAUUGUUUGAAGUUAAGCACACCAUUUUUCUUUUUUCUUUCUUUUUUUGACUAAUUGCAGAAAAUCAGCAAAAUGAAAGAAAAUUAUAUUAAACAGAAAUUCACAUUAGUCACUUCAAAGUCCAGAUCACAGAUUUGGAACAGAGAUCCCACCACAGAUAGUGAUGCAGAUGCUGCAGGACAAUAAUUUAACUGAAAAAAUAUAGGCGCUCAACAACCUUGCUAUUACAUGGAAAUAUAACCAGUCAUGUCAAGUCUCCUGCUGUAAAACAACGCACUGCAGACAAAUUGCACUCACUGGUGAAGACUAACUGUGACUAAUCGGAACGUGCCGGCAAUCUGUCUUUGUUUAUAAAUAAGUUGGCGAUUUUUUACAAGCCUUUGACAGUCUGCCUGAGAGAGACUGCAGUCAGUCUGACUUGGACGUGGACUGACUUGGAUUGUUUGGAGACAGGCUGCUUCCCACAAAGCGAUCUAUGCAAUCAUCUUGCGAUUGAAGGUGGUCACCCAGAGAUUGAGGUUGGGUGACCGAUUGGUCACUGCAACAACUUCCAAUCAGUUAUAAAAUGAGAAAAAAAAUUAAAUGUAACCCACAGGCAACAACUCUUUUUGCCACCCUAUUUUCACUCUUGUAUGACUGAGCCAUCAACUUCAGCCUUAAGUAAAUAAUUAGAGUUACGCUAUGGUGGCUGUCAAACCUUUCACUGACACGCCCCAUUUCAGAAGCUGAAAACAGUUUUCUUCCCACAAUAAAUCAUCAACUAUAAAACAAGAAUUCAAUUUCAGUUUCUGUGAAAUAAUGGUCAGCACGAUAGCAUCAGCAAAUUCCUUUUGUUUACUUUCCAUUCAAAAAAGCCCUUUAUUGAUGUUAGUUUCACAUCCUGGGUUUCCUUUGGUCAUCCAUACCCUAACCUGCAUCGGCUGCAUUCCCCACACGUGGGGCUGAAAAAAAACCAGACUAAACUCUAAUUAUUAUUAUUGCAAUUCUCCCAGUGUAUCACCUUCUACUUUAUCACAUCGUCUCGGCAAGUAUUCAUGUUGAUCAUAAAACUAAAUUACACAGUUCAACCUGUACCUGACCCAAGAUCAGGUAGUCCGACUCGGAUUACCUGACUAGAAUUUAUUUUGUAGCCUCAAAAGAUCUGUUUGAAUACUAAUUUGGCAUUUCAUAAAGCAGUGAUUCCUGAUACAAAAUUACAUUUUUUAAGAUCAUUUGUAUUACGUGUUCAGCAGCAAGUGAGGUAGGUGGUUAUAGGUAAAGGUCACUUUGCCGAAAAGCCUUCCUGUAAUCUGUUUAAUGAAUGGCCACUCUGCAGUUACUCCAGGUCAGCUGAUAGCACAGAGUGUAGCAUGACCAAUUCUAUUUAUAUCGAGGCAAUGAGCCACUGAUGUAUUAAUAAUUUCUCAAACAAUGCAGUUAUGUUCUAAAACGGUAUAGGAAAUGGGAUGAUGGGAUUACUGCUGUUCUAGAGGGCAUUUCAUUAGUAAAAUAUUAUUUCUGGUAAGUUAUGAAAUACAGUGUAUAAAACGUAAAAAAAUACACUUUCUUUAUUACUCUGUGCCGUACUUAUCGUUGCCUCUUUCACAGUCUCUCUCUGUCACACAGUUAUAUAAUCUUAGGUUUCUUAUUCAUCUCAGCCAACACUGACUCGGCCACUACCUCCGAAUACAAAGUCAAAGCUGAGUCAUAUAACCGGGGUCCUGUCUAAUCUCUGACAGUGAGAGAAUGACACAGAAUAAGCGUGCGCGUAUCUAUUUGUGUACGUUUGUGUGAAUCCAUGCAAAGUCGUGUACAUGCUAUUGAUUGUUCUAAACCUGACUGGUGAUGAAAUGAAAAGCCUGCACUGUGCCGAUGUGUCGUGCAGCCAGGACUGUUAGCAGAGUAGCCACAGCAGCAUUGCUCAAAUGCUCAUAUGUAUGCAAAUCACAGGCGCUCUAUUCUCCUGGGAGGGGAGCGGUGUUUGGGCUGAUAAAACCUGUAGAAUCCGUCUUACUGCACAGCAGGAUGAAAGCUGCAAGCUAAAAAACGAAUCGAAGGUAGAAGCUACAUCCUUAAAACAAAAUUUGUUAGGAAUGUGUGGAGCAUGAAUUGGAUAUUAUCAUGCCAGACAAGGAAAAGGAGCAAAACUCAGAGGAUGUCACAUUAUCUGCAGUUUGCUUUGAUGUUAUUUCAGAUAGUAAACAGAUGAUUUCAGCAUUAAUAUCCACAACAAAUCAAGCAUGACCAACCUCGCGUUUGAAAACUGUGCUAAAUUAACGUGUUCGUUUUUGAGAAAUAUGCUUUCACGUAUCCAUUUUCUGGCAGAACUGUCUCACAGGAGCGAUGCAUCUCUCAUGUCUGUAUAGUAAAUAUAAAACUACUGCCAUUAGCUGGAUACUGCGCCUCAGCAUAUCUGCCUACCAGCGCGUCUUACAUAACACAUUAUACAGGGUGUUGUUUUAUCGACACGAAACAAAAAAUUGAAGGUUUCACGCCUGAAGCACUGACUAGCUGGAGCUACUGUCAAACUAAUUCUUUAAAAAAGAAAUGCAUGUUUUGUUAGACUCCAACCAUCACCAACUCUGAGUCAUGAGGCUGUUAAGCUGUACGGAUAAGUUGUGAACAAAAAGUGAAACCUUGACCAACAAUUACUGUAGGAAGUUUGUCAGCCGCGUUAAGAUAAAAAUGAAAAAGUAAAUAAAUAAAUAAUAAAUAGCGAGGGAGAGAAAGCAAGACAGACAUACAAAGAGAGAUGAUAUAACCAAGUGAGAAGUGAAGAGAGUCAUGCUCUGCCUAGAUUAGCACCACUGUGUUUAGCUUCAGGUCCUCUACUCCCACGCUCUUCCUCUCUUCUACCUUGCCUCCCUCCCUCCAUACCACCCUUACCGCAUUUAUCCACACAUCAAUCACGCAUCCAUCAAUUCGACAUCCAUCUCUCCUCAACCGUCCAACCGCUAUCCCCACCUAAACCCCCGCAGUCGGACCACUCAGCCAGGGGAAGAAGCCCCGGCAUCAGCACCACCAGCUGAAGCCACCUGUUCUCCCCUCGCUGAAACCCCACUCUCCUCUUACAUAAAGAGACACUUACACUGUUGCAAUGCAGCAUCAGACGGUGUUGUGCAACAGCAUUAAAAAUACCUCAGGGUCAGUGAGGAGGAAAGUUGAAAACAGGAUAUCAUCAGAGAUAUUCUGGUGGAGAGAAUGCAAAAAAAAGAAAAAAAGAAAAAACUGAGUCGUGAGUGUGUCUGUCACUCGAAGGUGAGAGCACACCAUUCGACGCUCCCUUUGUGUGCACUCUUCAGCAGAAGAGCUGAGAGGGGAUAUCGACGAGCACCUCAGAGAGAGCACAGGCACAUUUCAACCAUAGCCAUCGCGGGGGUCUGCAAGCGCAGUGUCAGGACAUGGGACGUGACUCUUGAAAGCGAUUAACCUCUGGUCACGCUGUAUCGCACGACCAAAUUGGUAGAGAAGCGGUUGCCUUUUGGUGAUCAAUUUGUCCGUAUGUAACAAAAAAACCCCACAAAAAACCCCCACAUACAUUUAAUUUGGCAACUGCUCUCCCGUUAAUUCAAUCCCAACCAACCGACUCUGGUGGAUCUCAAAGUAAUAUAUCCCUUUAUUGCAGGGCACAGUGCCAAUCUGAGUCUUAAGUCUGUUGUCAGCACACCCCAUUUUGUAGAUACCACCUAAUUCCAUAAAGAAAGCCACACUAAUGCGUCUGCUGCUGUUGGAGGUACUCCUGCGGCUUAGGUUGCGAUAAUGCCGGCAACAAUUAAAUAAGAACUACCGCACUCUACUUAAAAUCCUCUCAGCUAAAUGAAAUCCAGCUCAAAUAUUUA